rnacentral:rRNA from 1 species
UACAGAGGUCUCAAGCGUUGUUCGGAUUCAUUGGGCGUAAAGGGUGUGUAGGUGGCGCGCUAAGUCGGGUGUGAAAUUUCGGAGCUUAACUCCGAAACUGCCUUCAAUACUGCCGGGCUCGAGGACUGUAGAGGAGAAUGGAAUUCACGGUGUAGCAGUGAAAUGCGUAGAUAUCGUGAGGAAGACCAGUGGCGAAGGCGAUUCUCUGGGCAGUUCCUGACACUGAGGCACGAAGGCCAGGGGAGCAAACGGG